CCUACGGGAGGCAGCAGUGGGGAAUUUUGGACAAUGGGCGCAAGCCUGAUCCAGCAAUGCCGCGUGAGUGAAGAAGGCCUUCGGGUUGUAAAGCUCUUUUGUCAGGGAAGAAACGGUGGGGGCUAAUAUCUCCUACUAAUGACGGUACCUGAAGAAUAAGCACCGGCUAACUACGUGCCAGCAGCCGCGGUAAUACGUAGGGUGCAAGCGUUAAUCGGAAUUACUGGGCGUAAAGCGUGCGCAGGCGGUUUUGUAAGUCUGUCGUGAAAGCCCCGGGCUCAACCUGGGAAUUGCGAUGGAGACUGCAAGGCUUGAAUCUGGCANAGGGGGGUUANAUC
rnacentral:rRNA from 1 species